UUGUCAGGGGAACGCGAAGAACCUUACCUGGGCUUGACAUGUGCCUGAAGAUCCCGGAGAAGGGGUUUCCCUUCGGGGCGGGUUCACAGGUGGUGCAUGGUCGUUGUCAGCUCGUGUUGUGAGAAGUUGGGUUAAGUCCCGCAACGAGCGCCACCCUCGCCGCGUGUUGCCAGCGGGUCAUGCCGGGAACUCACGUGGGACCGCCGGGGUUAACUCGGAGGAAGGUGGGGAUGACGUCAGAUCAUCAUGCCCCUUACGUCCAGGGCUUCACGCAUGCUACAAUGGCCGGUACAACGGGGUGCGACACGGUGACGUGGGGCGGAUCCCUGAAAACCGGUUUCCAUUUGGGUCUCCAUGUGCAAAUCGACUGCCUGAAGGUGGGAAUGGUUAGUAAUGGCGAUUAG
rnacentral:rRNA from 1 species